UUGUGAUUGUCACAUUGUCACAGAUCAGCAGUGACUUGUGCAUAAUGAAUUACUGUUCUUUCUUACAGGUUGCAAGUAAACCUCUAAUGAUUGUAGGGUCUAAUUAGCAACAGUGUCAACUCUUUUAACUAGAAAUAAUUGAUUAAAAACUUUCACUGUGAGAGGUAGGAAGAAGCAGGCUGUCUUUCUUUGUCUCUUCUUGAGCUCGAGGAAACUCCCUAGCACCCCUAAAGCAAACCUCAUUGCUCAAGGUGCAGCUCAGGUUUAGCCCCACAGCACUCCCUGGACGUGGAAUCUUCAGGAAUGGUUUAAACCUCACCAUGUGCUCUCUGAGGGCAGACAAGAAUGCCUGCUUCCUUAAGCGUGCAGAAUAGUAAACACUCCCCAAAUUGAACUUAUUCAGAGGAUGACUAAUAUAGAGGGGAAAAAAUCUAAUUGCUGGGCAACUCAGUAUCCCCACCAGUUCGAAUCUGGGUUUUCUGCCUUCAAUUUCCAUGCUCAUUUCAUUUCCCAAUUAUGUCUCCCUUUUAGCUCCACCCAUUCCUAAGAAACACCCAAUUUAAAAAAAGCACUGGAGCUCACGUGUCACUGGAUGAGAAAAGAAACUCUGUGUCACAGCAUGUAAUUCUGAACUAUAUGAUUUUCCUAAAGGUCUUGGACUUCAGGUGAAAGACGUUCUGUCAGCCAGGAUUCAGGAACAUCCCUCAGGAAGAGAGAGCUACCUGCUGCUUUGUCUGUGUAUUGUGCCCAGAGAGAGAAAUAUGUAAUCAGACAGAAAAGAAAAGUGUCUGUGGGGCUCAAGUUUGAGUUGAAACCAGGCUCAGGGUCCACCUGUCCUCGCUGAUCCGUGGAUUUCUGUGUGACCAGCUUUGGGGCACAACCUGAAGACCCUCACAGUCACCUUCCCCAUCUCCACCCUCCAGUAUUCAUCAGACAGGAGCAAUGGCUCAGCCACGUUCCACUCCACUGAGAGGGUCCUGCAGAGCCUGCUGGAUCCUUGUUCAAGAAGAGCAGCCUGGGCCUCUUCUCCUUGAGUUGCAGACUGGUCUCCCUCAGGCCUGUGAAGGAUGGGGGAGCCACCUGUGUGGACGCUGUCUGCACCCACCACCGUGACCUCGUGGGCCACCAUGCCUCUGUGCUGGGAGCUGAGAGUCUCCACGUGUCUGCUCUUCCUCUCGGUGGCUCCAGGCUCUGCACCCUGGAGUUUAUGCAUGCA